UGAAUAUACCGGUUCUCGUUAGAUCACCGAAGUUAAGCAUCAUUGGGCGCGGUCAGUACUUGGGUGGGUGACUACCUGGGAACACUGCGUGCCGUU
rnacentral:rRNA from 1 species